AACGGCCGUACCAUGCUGAAUAUACCGGUUCUCGUUAGAUCACCGAAGUCAAGCAACAUUGGGCGCAGUCAGUAAUUGGGUGGGUGACCACCUGGGAACACUGCGUGCCGUU
rnacentral:rRNA from 1 species